rnacentral:rRNA from 1 species
UGCAGUCGAGCGGUAGAGAGAAGCUUGCUUCUCUUGAGAGCGGCGGACGGGUGAGUAAUGCCUAGGAAUCUGCCUGGUAGUGGGGGAUAACGUUCGGAAACGAACGCUAAUACCGCAUACGUCCUACGGGAGAAAGCAGGGGACCUUCGGGCCUUGCGCUAUCAGAUGAGCCUAGGUCGGAUUAGCUAGUUGGUGAGGUAAUGGCUCACCAAGGCGACGAUCCGUAACUGGUCUGAGAGGAUGAUCAGUCACACUGGAACUGAGACACGGUCCAGACUCCUACGGGAGGCAGCAGUGGGGAAUAUUGGACAAUGGGCGAAAGCCUGAUCCAGCCAUGCCGCGUGUGUGAAGAAGGUCUUCGGAUUGUAAAGCACUUUAAGUUGGGAGGAAGGGCCAUUACCUAAUACGUGAUGGUUUUGACGUUACCGACAGAAUAAGCACCGGCUAACUCUGUGCCAGCAGCCGCGGUAAUACAGAGGGUGCAAGCGUUAAUCGGAAUUACUGGGCGUAAAGCGCGCGUAGGUGGUUUGUUAAGUUGGAUGUGAAAGCCCCGGGCUCAACCUGGGAACUGCAUUCAAAACUGACAAGCUAGAGUAUGGUAGAGGGUGGUGGAAUUUCCUGUGUAGCGGUGAAAUGCGUAGAUAUAGGAAGGAACACCAGUGGCGAAGGCGACCACCUGGACUGAUACUGACACUGAGGUGCGAAAGCGUGGGGAGCAAACAGGAUUAGAUACCCCUGGUAGUCCACGCCGUAAACGAUGUCAACUAAGCCGUUGGGAGCCUUGAGCUCUUAAGUGGCGCAGCUAACGCAUUAAAGUUGACCGCCUGGGGGAGUACGGGCCGCAAGGGUUAAAACUCAAAUGGAAUUUGACGGGGGGCCCGCACAAAGCGGGUGGAAGCAUGGUGGGUUUAAUUUCGGAAGCAACGCCGAAGAAACCUUUACCAAGGCCUUUGACAUCCCAAUGAACUUUUCCAGAAAAAUGGGAUUGGGUGGCCUUUCGGGGAACAUUUGAGAACAAGGGGCCUUGCAUGGGCUUGUCGUCAACCUCCUGG